CAUAAAAAGACUAAAGAAAAACAAGACCAAGAAAGAGCACAAAUGAAAGAGAGGCUGAAAUGUCUCCCGCUAAAGAGUCAGUGAUUGAAUCCUGCCUGGCCUGUCUCAGUAUCAGAUAUCCUCUGUGAUGGAAGCUCAUUGACUGUUCAGUUAGUACAUGGUACAGAUUGUAUUUAUAUGUAAAUCCCUGCUGAAAAAUAAUUUUUAAAACCCUGACAUUUCAAAGGCUGCCUUGAAAGGUUGCAGAAAUUGAUUUCUAUUUUUAAUUUCAGUUAGUGUCAGAGGGAAAAAUUCAGACUGAAUAGUUUAAUUAAAGUGGCAUUUUUCUAUUUC